rnacentral:rRNA from 1 species
UACGGAGGGAGCUAGCGUUAUUCGGAAUUAUUGGGCGUAAAGCGCGUGUAGGCGGCUUGGCAAGUCGGGUGUGAAAUCCCUCAGCUUAACUGAGGAAGUGCGCCCGAAACUGCCGAGCUUGAGUGCCGGAGAGGGUGGCGGAAUUCCCCAAGUAGAGGUGAAAAUUCGUAGAUAUGGGGAGGAACACCGGGUGGCGAAGGCGGCCACCUGGACGGUAACUGACGCUGAGACGCGAAAGCGUGGGGAGCAAACAGGG